rnacentral:rRNA from 1 species
UACGGGAGGCAGCAGUGGGGAAUAUUGCACAAUGGGCGAAAGCCUGAUGCAGCUAUGCCGCGUGUAUGAAGAAGGCCUUAGGGUUGUAAAGUACUUUCAUCGGGGAGGAAAAACAAAACUAAUAAUUUUAUUUCUUGACGUUACCCGAAAAAGAAGCACCGGCUAACUCCGUGCCAGCAGCCGCGGUAAUACGGAGGGUGCUAGCGUUAAUCAGAAUUACUGGGCGUAAAGAGCACGUAGGUGGUUUUUUUAAAGUCAGAUGUGAAAUCCCUGGGCUUAACCUAGGAACUGCAUUUUGAAACUGAAAUACUAGAGUAUCGUAGAGGGAGGUAGAAUUCUAGGUGUAGCGGUGAAAUGCGUAGAUAUCUGGAGGAAUACCUGUGGCGAAAGCGGCCUCCUAAACGAAUACUGACACUGAGGUGCGAAAAGCGUGGGGAGCAAACAGGGAUUAGAUACC